UACAGAGGGUGCGAGCGUUAAUCGGAAUUACUGGGCGUAAAGCGCGCGCAGGCGGUCAGUUAAGUUGGGUGUUUAAGCCCGGGGCUCAACCCCGGUACGCAUCCAAAACUGGUUGACUUGAGUGUAGGAGAGGAAAGUGGAAUUCCACGUGUAGCGGUGAAAUGCGUAGAGAUGUGGAGGAACACCAGUGGCGAAGGCGACUUUCUGGCCUAUAACUGACGCUGAGGCGCGAAAGCGUGGGGAGCAAACAGG
rnacentral:rRNA from 1 species